AUUUUGUAUUGACAAUGUCGAAAAAACCAGAUGAUUUUGGAUUUAUGUCAUUUAAAUUUAAAGUAUUCGUUUAAUAUAACUGAUUCCAUAGUGUUUUUUUACGAGAUUUUAUACAUGAAUUAAAUUAGAUGUCACUGCAGUAGACCAUGAACAGCAAAGAUAAUUCACCGAUUGGAUCCUUUACUUUACUACCAAAAUCAUUUCCAGUGAUUAGGUAGAUUUCCACAUCGAUGGCUUCGUUAAUAGGCAAUUUGGGGCUUAGAAAAUCCACGAAUGAUUCGUCAGACAGCAAAGCAUUCACUGUAUGGUAUGCAGUUUGGUCUAGAGGAAUUAUUGGAUCGUUUUUCUUCGACAACGAAUAAGGUAAUGCAGUAAGGGAUAACACAAUUUCUUAAAUCUCAUUUGGAAGUUAUAGAGUUUGUGCCAAUUCCCGAUUUGGUGACCGAAAUUGGACUCGUAGAUCUUCGGAUUUAACGCCUUCUGGCUUUGGGGGGUAUCUGAAGUCCUAAUUUUAUACCAAUAAUUCAGCAACCAUUGCAGCAUUGAAAGCCGAAAUUAGACGUUAUAUUAUUGAAAUAUCACCACAUGUAUAUUUGUGUUAUAAAAAUAAAAGCAGACGUUAUUUCGAGUGGUGAAAAAAAAAAAAAAA